rnacentral:rRNA from 1 species
UACGGGGGGGGUAAGCGUUGUUCGGAAUUACUGGGCGUAAAGGGCUCGUAGGCGGCCAACUAAGUCCGACGUGAAAUCCCCAGGCUCAACCUGGGAACUGCGUCGGAUACUGGAUGGCUUGAAUUCGGGAGAGGGAUGCAGAAUUCCAGGUGUAGCGGUGAAAUGCGUAGAUAUCUGGAGGAAUACCGGUGGCGAAGGCGGCAUCCUGGACCGACAUUGACGCUGAGGAGCGAAAGCUAGGGGAGCAAACGGG